GACCCUAUUCUAAUGACUAAAGGGGUUCUUUACACAUUUGUAUUGAUGGGAAAACAUGUUUGUAAGUUAAAACUAAUAUCCAUUUGGUCACUAGAUCCAAGACUAGGUGUAUCAAACCACUUUUGACACUUUAAAAACCCAACUUCAUCAACCUAGAGGUCUAAAAUUGAAUUUACCACAUAGAAUGUGUUUUUAGCAAAUUUAGCACUUCUAACAAGUCUCAAAUGACUAAAUCAUAUUGUAUCCACUGCCCACUUACACCCUAGACUUCAAUUACUCAAAAACACCCUCUCAAUUCCUCUAAACUCACUCAAAACACUAGUUUUCCUCAACCUAAGGACUCAACUCCACUUCUACCAUUUAGAACCUCAUUUUAACAAAUUUUAUAGUCCUAACAAGUUAUAAUUAACUUGCCUAAGCUGCCUCAACAGUUCAAAUAUGCCCAGGACCCCUAACUCUAAAAUUCCCUAUCUCACUUCGUUCAAAAUACCCUAAAGCACUACUAAACCAUCAUGUUUUCUAUCUAAACUAUGAUAUAACAGAUUUCACACUCCUAAUUACUCCCGACCUGGCAUAUUACAACAAACUAAACUCACCCCACUCAGCUCAUAACAUCGUGGCACAGUUUCAUAGAUUUCACAAUCUCAACUUUCAAAGCAUACAUGUCUCAAAUCCACAUAAACAUCAAUUC
rnacentral:lncRNA from 1 species